rnacentral:rRNA from 1 species
UACAGAGGUUCCGAGCGUUAUGCGGAAUCACUGGGCUUAAAGCGUGUGUAGGCGGACGUCUAAGUACCUUGUGAAAUCCCACGGCUCACCCGUGGAACUGCUGGGUAUACUGGUCGUCUUGAGCCACCUAGGGGCGAGCGGAAUAAAUGGUGGAGCGGUGAAAUGCGUAGAUAUCGUUUGGAACGCCAAUGGUGAAAACAACUUGCUGGGGGUGUGCUGACGCUGAGACACGAAAGCCAGGGGAGCAAACGGG